UCCCAACUGCCCCACCCAAAAAGCUUGGGUCAGCAAGUGAGGCACUAUUCCAUGUUCUUGAGCCAUCUGAGGACCCCAAUACGUUUCUCCAGAAACGGCCCAUCACCAGUCCAGUCAUCCUAGACUCUACUAACCUCCUCCUGGCUGUUGGCAAAAUCCCACUGAUGACCCUACCUUGGGAAAUGAUGCACGAGGCUCCACUCAUCCUGAUGGGGUGUUUUUACACCUUCCACCUCACCUACCCCAAAUGUGUUGCUACUCUCCUAUCCGUCAUCCAGACUGAGGUACUGAAGGACAGUAUUCACGAGCGUGACCUUACUCAUUCAUACAAAAAAGCAAUAGCUGAAUGGGCAGAAUUCACAAAAAAGUAGAGAACUUGAAUUCUGUGUCCAAUGUUUGUCAGUUCUAUGAGGAUGUAUAUAUGUUGAAGAGCUUUGUUCAUUUAAUAAAUGAUCCUGUUUGUUAUGGACUGACUUAAUAAAAACGUGUUUUUUGAAA